AUUGAACGCUUGCGGCAGGCCUAACACAUGCAAGUCGAGCGGAGCGGCGGACGGGCGAGUAACGCCUAGGAAUCUGCCUGGUAGUGGGGGAUAACGUCCGGAAACGGGCGCUCAUACCGCAUACUAUCAGAUGAGCCUAGGCCGGAUUAGCUAGUUGGUGGGGUAAGGGCCUACCAAGGCGACGAUCCGUAACUGGUCUGAGAGGAUGAUCAGUCACAUGGGAACUGUGACACGGGCCAGACGCCUACGGGAGGCAGCAGGGGGGAAUAUUGGACAUAGGGCGAAAGCCGGGUUCAGCCAUGCCGCCUGAGUGAAGAAGGCCUGCGGAUUGUAAAGCACUUUAACUUGGGAGGCGUCACCAACAGAAAAAGCACCGGCUAACUUGGUGUCAGCAGCCGCGGUAAUAC
rnacentral:rRNA from 1 species